rnacentral:rRNA from 1 species
GAUGAACGCUGGCGGCGUGCCUAAUACAUGCAAGUCGAGCGAAUGGAUUAAGAGCUUGCUCUUAUGAAGUUAGCGGCGGACGGGUGAGUAACACGUGGGUAACCUGCCCAUAAGACUGGGAUAACUCCGGGAAACCGGGGCUAAUACCGGAUAACAUUUUGAACCGCAUGGUUCGAAAUUGAAAGGCGGCUUCGGCUGUCACUUAUGGAUGGACCCGCGUCGCAUUAGCUAGUUGGUGAGGUAACGGCUCACCAAGGCAACGAUGCGUAGCCGGCCUGGGAGGGUGAUCGGCCACACCGGGACUGAGACACGGCCCAGACUCCUACGGGAGGCAGCAGUAGGGAAUCUUCCGCAAUGGGCGAAAGUCUGACGGAGCAACGCCGCGUGAGUGAUGAAGGCUUUCUGGUCGUAAAACUCUGUUGUUAGGGAAGAACAAGUGCUAGUUGAAUAAGCUGGCACCUUGACGGUACCUAACCAGAAAGCCACGGCUAACUACGUGCCAGCCGCCGCGGUAA